UCUUAACGCCCGUCGCCCUGAGUACGUUAGCGGAAAUGGCUCUGAGAGGCUUAGACGCCUGUGUAGCUUUGUUAGUGGCGGUAUGUCGGCCGGAGACUUUCGGGCUACAGUGGAGGUGGCUAUGCUUCCCGCAUCUCUCUUGAGAGGCACAGAAGAUCAGAGAUGCGUGCGAGGAAUGGCCAGGUCCAGCGUCUCCUCGUUGCUGUCCCUUGAUCCCGCGAUCGGCGCCGAUGAGCGCCCGCGUUCUUUCGUCCCACGGACCUGCCUUGGUGUAGCCUCCCCGGGCUGUAGCUUCCGAAGGCUACAGCCGACCUGGUCGGGACCCUCCAGCCCGCUUUCCCCUUUCCCGAUUGACAGAUGGAGAAACUGAGGCCCAGUCUAAAAAAUAUCUCACUAGAGGGCUCACAGCCAGUUCCUGGGAAAGUUGGGGCUGGGACUCAACGGACGCUCGGCCAGCAACAGCGCGGAGCUCCGAAGUAAAGGCGCCCGUGACCGAGCGCCUUGUCCUUAAAAGCGUGGUGUCCUUGAAUGCUCCCAGGCGCCUUAUGAGGUCCCCGAUGUACAAUCUGCUUAAACUAAACCCCACUCUCUGCCAGGGUCAGGUUGGCCAUCCGCAGGCGUAGUUGCUAGGAAGGUUUGACAGAUGCCCGCCUGUUGAUUCAAAUGUUCCCAGGAUUUGGAGCAAGAAGAGCAAGGAAGGCCGGGCGCGGUGGCUCACCUUUGUAAUCCCGGCACUUUGGGAGGCCGAGGCAGGCGGAUCACGAGGUCAGGAGAUCGAGACCAUCCUGGCUAACACGGUGAAACCCCGUCUCUACUAAAAAUACAAAAAAAUAGCCGGGCGAGGUGGCGGGCGCCUGUAGUCCCAGCUACUCAGGAGGCUGAGGCAGGAGAAUGGCGUGAACCCGGGAGGUGGAGCUUGCAGUGAGCUGAGAUCCGGCCGCUGCACUCCAGCCCAGGAGACACAGCAAGACUCCGUCUCAAAAAAAAGAUAAGAGCAAGGAGGUGUUGAAAGUGGGUUUCCUGGCUGGGCGUGGUGGUUCACGCUUGUAAUCCCAGCACUUUGGGAGGCAGAGGUGGGCGGAUCACUUGAGGUCAGGAGUUCGAGACCAACCUGGCCAACAUUGUGAACCACCCUCCACUGAAAAUACGAAAAUUAACUGGGUGUGGUGGCAGGCGCCUGUAAUCCCAGCUAAUUGGGAGACUGAGGCAGGAGAAUCGCUUGAACCCAGGAGGCAGAGGUUGCAGUGAGCUGAGAUAGUACCAUUGCACUCCAGCCUGGGCAAUAGAGUGAGACUCAGCCUCAAAAAAAAAAAUUAUCCCAGUGUGGUGGUGUGCGCCUAUAAUCCCAGCUACUCAGGAGGCAGAGGCACAAGAAUGGCUUGAAUCACUUUGAACCUGGGAGGAAGAGGUUACAGUGAGCUGAGAUGGCACCGCUGCACUCCAGCCUGGGCGAUAGAGCAAGACUCCAACUCCCUAUCU